rnacentral:rRNA from 1 species
GACGAACGCUGGCGGCGUGCUUAACACAUGCCAGUCGAACGGAAAGGCCCCUUUGGGGGUACUCGAGUGGCGAACGGGUGAGUAACACGUGAGUAACCUGCCCUUGACUUCGGGAUAACUUCAGGAAACUGGGGCUAAUACCGGAUAGGAAUCCUUGCUGCAUGGUGGGGGUUGGAAAGCUUCGGCGGUUUUGGAUGGACUCGCGGCUUAUCAGCUUGUUGGUGGGGUAGUGGCUUACCAAGGCUUUGACGGGUAGCCGGCCUGAGAGGGCGACCGGCCACAUUGGGACUGAGAUACGGCCCAGACUCCUACGGGAGGCAGCAGGGGGGAAUAUUGCACAAUGGGCGGAAGCCUGAUGCAGCAACGCCGCGUGCGGGAUGACGGCCUUCGGGUUGUAAACCGCUUUCAGCAGGGGCGAAGCUUGUGGUGACGGUACCUGCAGAAGAAGCACCGGCUAACUACGUG